GCCCCACAGUGAUUUCAGCUCUUGGCCCACAAGCUUUAUUUCACUGCAAGCUCUUCUUCCGGCUCCAGAUGCGUGUUUCUUCAGUGCUGCUGGCUGAAACUUCUCCAGCUCCAGAUGCGUGUUUCUUCAAUGCUUCGGGCUGAAACUUCUCCAGGUACAAGGCGCAGGAUCUUCCUCCUGUCUCCAGCUCGGCAACAUUUCAGCUCCCACCCUAGGGCCUAGAAGCCCACCCAAAAGUCAAUGUCCCCGCCCCACUGUGAAUUCAGCACCAGCGCUACAGUGGCUAU